rnacentral:rRNA from 1 species
UACGUAGGGUGCAAGCGUUGUCCGGAAUUAUUGGGCGUAAAGAGCUCGUAGGCGGUCUGUCGCGUCGGCUGUGAAAACCCGAGGCUCAACCUCGGGCCUGCAGUCGAUACGGGCAAACUAGAGUACUGCAGGGGAGACUGGAAUUCCUGGUGUAGCGGUGAAAUGCGUAGAUAUCAGGAGGAACACCUGUGGUGUAGACGGCUUACUGGACCAUGACUGACGCUGAGGCACGAAAGCGUGGGGAGCAAACAGG